GGUCUAAACUUCAAAAUCUAAAA
rnacentral:snRNA from 1 species